rnacentral:rRNA from 1 species
GUCCUUUAGAAUUUAAUUUAAGGUCUAGCCUGCCCACUGAAAUUAAUUUUAAAUGGCCGCAGUAAUUUGACUGUGCAAAGGUAGCAUAAUCAUUAGUUUUUUAAUUGAAAGCUUGUAUGAAAGGUUGGACGAGGUAAAAUCUGUCUCUAAUUAAUUUAAUUUAGAAUUUAACUUUUAAGUCAAAAGGCUUAAAUAUAAUUAAAAGACGAGAAGACCCUAUAGAUCUUUAUAAUUUUUUUUAUUAAAUUUAAUUAAGAAUUUUUUAAAUUUUAUUAAUCUAAUUAUUUUAUUGGGGUAAUAUAAAGAUUAAAUUAAUUCUUUUUUUUUAUUAACAUUAAUUUAUGAAUUUAUGAUCCAAUUUUAUUGGUUAUAAGAUUAAGUUACCUUAGGGAUAACAGCGUUAUUUUUUUAGAGAGUUCUUAUCGAUAAAAAAGUUUACGACCUCGAUGUUGGAUUAAAGAUUAUUUCAGGUGCAGAAGUUUGAAAAUUUUGGUCUGUUCGACCAUUAAAUCUUUACAUGAUCUGAGUUCAGACCGGUGUAAGCCAGGUCGGUUUCUAUCUUUAGUAAAUUAAAAUAUUUUAGUACGAAAGGACCAAUUAUUUAAUAUAAAAUAUUUAAAUUUUGAUUAUUAUUAA